rnacentral:piRNA from 1 species
UGACAUCUAUGUGCCACGUUUGCCACUUA